UACCAGCACCCCGAGUGGUCGGGACGUUUAUUGGGCCUAAAGCAUCCGUAGCCGGUUCUACAAGUCUUCCGUUAAAUCCACCUGCUCAACGGAUGGGCUGCGGAGGAUACCGCAGAGCUAGGAGGCGGGAGAGGCAAACGGUACUCAGUGGGUAGGGGUAAAAUCCAUUGAUCUACUGAAGACCACCAGUGGCGAAGGCGGUUUGCCAGAACGCGCUCGACGGUGAGGGAUGAAAGCUGGGGGAGCAAACCGG
rnacentral:rRNA from 1 species